UACGCCCGAUCUCGUCCGAUCUCGGAAGCUAAGCAGGGCCGGGCCUGGUUAGUACUUGGAUGGGAGACCGCCUGGGAAUACCAGGUGCUGUAAGCUUCAUACCAGCCUG
rnacentral:rRNA from 1 species